rnacentral:rRNA from 1 species
AUUGAACGCUGGCGGAAUGCUUUACACAUGCAAGUCGAACGGCAGCACGGGUGCUUGCACCUGGUGGCGAGUGGCGAACGGGUGAGUAACAUAUCGGAACGUACCCAGUAAUGGGGGAUAACUAACCGAAAGGUUAGCUAAUACCGCAUACGCCCUGAGGGGGAAAGCGGGGGAUCGAAAGACCUCGCGUUAUUGGAGCGGCCGAUAUCUGAUUAGCUAGUUGGUGAGGUAAAGGCUCACCAAGGCGACGAUCAGUAGCGGGUCUGAGAGGAUGAUCCGCCACACUGGGGAUGAGACACGGCCCAGACGCCUACGGGAGGCAGCAGUGGGGAAUUUUGGACAAUGGGCGCAAGCCUGAUCCAGCCAUGCCGCGUGUCUGAAGAAGGCCUUCGGGUUGUAAAGGACUUUUGUCCGGGAGCAAAUGCUGGUGGCUAACAUCCACCGGAGCUGAGAGUACCGGAAGAAUAAGCACCGGCUAACUACGUGCCAGCGGCCGCAGUAA